CCUACGGUGGGCAGCAGUGAGGAAUAUUGGUCAAUGGGCGCGAGCCUGAACCAGCCAAGUCGCGUGAAGGAUGACUGCCCUACGGGUUGUAAACUUCUUUUAUAAAGGAAUCAAGUGAGGCACGUGUGCCUUUUUGUAUGUACUUUAUGAAUAAGGAUCGGCUAACUCCGUCCAAGCAGCCGCGGUAAUACGGAGGAUCCGAGCGUUAUCCGGAUUUAUUGGGUUUAAAGGGAGCGUAAAUGGGUUAUUAAUUCAGUUGGGAAAGUUUGCGGGUCAACCGUAAAAUUGCAAUUGAUACUGGCAGUCGUGAGUACAGUUGAGGUAGGCGGAAUUCGUAGUGUAGCGGUGAAAUGCUUAGAUAUCACGAAGAACUCCGAUUGCGAAGGCAGCUUACUAAGCUGCCACUGACAUUGAUGCUCGAAAGUGUGGGUAUCAAACAGGAUUAGAUACCCGGGUAGUC
rnacentral:rRNA from 1 species